rnacentral:rRNA from 1 species
AUUUUUAUGGAGAGUUUGAUCCUGGCUCAGGAUGAACGCUGGCGGCGUGCCUAAUACAUGCAAGUCGAGCGGACGGACG